rnacentral:rRNA from 1 species
UACGUAGGGUCCGAGCGUUGUCCGGAAUUAUUGGGCGUAAAGAGCUCGUAGGCGGUUUGUCGCGUCUGCUGUGAAAUCCCGAGGCUUAACCUCGGGCCUGCAGUCGAUACGGGCAGACUAGAGUUCGGUAGGGGAGACUGGAAUUCCCGGUGUAGCGGUGAAAUGCGCAGAUAUCGGGAGGAACACCUAUGGCGAAGGCAGCUCGCUGGGACGUUACUGACGCUGAGACGCGAAAGCGUGGGGAGCAAACAGG